ensembl:lncRNA
UGCCAGGUGAUGCUGCUGAUUGUGCUGUGUUUCAGGCAGGUUGUUCAGGUGUGUGAAGCUGAGAGAGAGUGAGGACGCUGCCAGGUGAUGCUGCUGAUUGUGCUGUGUUUCAGGCAGGUUGUUCAGGUGUGUGAAGCUGAGAGAGAGUGAGGACGCUGCCAGGUGAUGCUGCUGAUUGUGCUGUGUUUCAGGCAGGUUGUUCAGGUGUGUGAAGCUGAGAGAGUGAGGACGCUGCCAGGUGAUGCUGCUGAUUGUGCUGUGUUUCAGGCAGGUUGUUCAGGUGUGUGAAGCUGAGAGAGAGUGAGGACGCUGCCAGGUACUACAGGUGUAUUUAUACUGUCUCUUUCACUUUCACUCUGACUUGGAACAAAGUGAAAGUCUCCACCUUUGUCCUGUAAAUGCAUCUCACCCAAGGCCAUUUAAUUUCUUCUUCUUCUCUCUCUCCCUCCCUCCUUUCUUUCUUUCUUUAUUUCUUUCUCUCAUUUCUUUCUCUGAUGCUUUUUUCCUUCUGUGACUUUCUCUCCAUUUACUGUCAAUCUGUCUCGUCCGCCUCUUUAACAGUGACAGAGCAUUGCACUCCUACAGUAUCUGUUAAAAUAAACCCUUAACCUGUCUAGGACUGGG